rnacentral:rRNA from 1 species
AGUGAACGCUGGCGGUAGGCCUAAUACAUGCAAGUCGAACGGCAGCACAGUAAGAUCUUGCUCCUACGGUUGGCGACUGGCGGAUGGGUGAGGAAUGCAUCGGCAUCUACUUUGUCGUGGGGGAUAUCGUAGGGCAACUUACGCUAAUACCGCAUAUGUUGUACGGCUUGAAUCAGGAGUUAUUGGCAGUUUGCCUGUCUGUAUGAGCCGAUGUCGGAUUAGCUAGUUGGCGAGGUAAAGGCACACCAAGGCGACGAUCCGUAGCUGGUCUGAGAGGAUGAUCAGCCACACUGGAACUGAGACACGGUCCAGACUCCUACGGGAGGCAGCAGUAGGGAAUAUUGCGCAAUGGGCGCAAGCCUGAUCGAGCAAUGCCGCGUGAGUGAAGAAGGUCUUCGGGUUGUAAAGCCCUGUUGUUGGGGAAGAAAAGCAGCGGGUGAAUACCCCGCUGUUCUGACGGUACCCAAACAGUAAGCACCGGCUAACUACGUG